rnacentral:rRNA from 2 species
AGAGUUUGAUCCUGGCUCAGGACGAACGCUGGCGGCGUGCUUAACACAUGCAAGUCGAACGGACCUUAUUUGGAGGAAGCUUUCGGGUAGACACUGAAUAAGGUUAGUGGCGGACGGGUGAGUAACGCGUAGAUAAUCUACCUUAAAGACUGGGACAACAGUUGGAAACGACUGCUAAUACCGGAUAAGCUAAACGGAAGGCAUCUUCUGUUUAGGAAAGGAGGCCUCUUAACAAUGCUCCCGCUUUUAGAUGAGUCUGCGUCUGAUUAGCUAGUUGGUGGGGUAACGGCUUACCAAGGCGACGAUCAGUAGUCGGCCUGAGAGGGUGACCGGCCACAUUGGGACUGAGACACGGCCCAAACUCCUACGGGAGGCAGCAGUGGGGAAUCUUCCGCAAUGGGCGAAAGCCUGACGGAGCAACGCCGCGUGAUCGAAUGAAGGCCUUCGGGUUGUAAAGAUCUGUUGACAGGGACGAAUAAGCCAUGCGAAUAGUUUGGUGUAUGACGGUACCUGUUUAGAAAGCUCCGGCUAACUACGUGCCAGCAGCCGCGGUAAUACGUAGGGAGCAAGCGUUGUCCGGAAUUACUGGGCGUAAAGGGCGCGUAGGUGGGUGCUUAAGUCAGGUGUGAAAACUCUGGGCUCAACCUGGAGACUGCACUUGAAACUGGGUAUCUUGAGGGCAGGAGAGGAAAGUGGAAUUCCUAGUGUAGCGGUGAAAUGCGUAGAUAUUAGGAGGAACACCAGUGGCGAAGGCGACUUUCUGGACUGUACCUGACGCUGAGGCGCGAAAGCGUGGGUAGCGAACGGGAUUAGAUACCCCGGUAGUCCACGCCGUAAACGAUGAAUACUAGGUGUAGGAGGUAUCGACUCCUUCUGUGCCGCAGCAAACGCAAUAAGUAUUCCGCCUGGGGACUACGGUCGCAAGACUAAAACUCAAAGGAAUUGACGGGGACCCGCACAAGCGGUGGAGCAUGUGGUUUAAUUCGACGCAACGCGAAGAACCUUACCAGGGCUUGACAUCCCUCGCUAUCUGUGGAAACACGGAGUUCCGUAGCUUGCUACGGACGAGGAGACAGGUGGUGCAUGGUUGUCGUCAGCUCGUGUCGUGAGAUGUUGGGUUAAGUCCCGCAACGAGCGCAACCCCUACGUCCAGUUGCCAGCACGUUAAGGUGGGAACUCUGGAGGAACUGCCGGUGACAAACCGGAGGAAGGUGGGGAUGACGUCAAAUCAUCAUGCCCUUUAUGUUCUGGGCUACACACGUGCUACAAUGGCCGGUACAGAGGGCGGCGAAGCCGCGAGGUGGAGCGAAUCCCAAAAAGCCGGUCUAAGUUCGGAUUGCAGGCUGCAACCCGCCUGCAUGAAGUCGGAAUCGCUAGUAAUCGCGAGUCAGCAUAUCGCGGUGAAUACGUUCCCGGGUCUUGUACACACCGCCCGUCACACCAUGGGAGUUGGCAACACCCGAAGUCGAUGAGCUAACCGCAAGGAGGCAGUCGCCUAAGGUGGGGUUGAUAACUGGGGUGAAGUCGUAACAAGGUAACCAA